rnacentral:lncRNA from 1 species
UUAUUGACAUCUUCAUUAUUUGGCUUGAUAGCAUAGCACAAAUUUUGAGCACUAAUCGAAAUGAAAACAGUACAUCCUUCAGUUCACACGAUAUUCAUGCUUUUGUGUGAUUCCUUGUUGAUUUGUUGAAACUUAUCUUGAUAUUCCAUUGCAUCCUUUUAUGUAUUCUGUUAACUCCCAUAUUUGGUACAUAUCUUGUGAAUCACCUCCCACAUUUGAAGCUUUGAGUUGUCCAGUUCUAUAGCACAAUGAUUUUCCUUUAUGAUUAUAUAGUGUACCUUCCUAGAAUGUAGCCAUGCCCCAGUAUAAUAUCAAUGUAUU